AUUGAACGCUGGCGGCAGGCCUAACACAUGCAAGUCGAACGGCAGCACAGAAGAGCUUGCUCUUUGGGUGGCGAGUGGCGGACGGGUGAGUAAUGUCUGGGAAACUGCCCGAUGGAGGGGGAUAACUACUGGAAACGGUAGCUAAUACCGCAUAACGUCGCAAGACCAAAGUGGGGGACCUUCGGGCCUCACACCAUCGGAUGUGCCCAGAUGGGAUUAGCUAGUAGGUGGGGUAAUGGCUCACCUAGGCGACGAUCCCUAGCUGGUCUGAGGGGAUGACCAGCCACACUGGAACUGAGACACGGUCCAGACUCCUACGGGGUGCAGCAGUGGGGAAUAUUGCACAAUGGGCGCAAGCCUGAUGCAGCCAUGCCGCGUGUAUGAAGAAGGCCUUCGGGUUGUAAAGUACUUUCAGCGGGGAGGAAGGCGGUGAGGUUAAUAACCUUGCCGAUUGACGUUACCCGCAGAAGAAGCACCGGCUAACUCCGUGCCAGCAGCCGCCGUAA
rnacentral:rRNA from 1 species